rnacentral:piRNA from 1 species
UCAAGCUCUGAUAGCCUGGAUGCCUU